UUUCCUGGUGCGUCGUCUGUUUGUUUACAAUGCUGAUAACACGUGCGAGGGGGCGGGGUCAUAUAAGCACUUCCUUGAGGAUGUGUACGAUCAAGGAUGACGCUUAUUUUACAUAGAUGUGGUUGUGUUGGUUUGGACAAAGAAAAGCUAACAAUAGUUUCAACGAGAUUGCACUUUUUAAAAGAUUAUACGCGUAGAAAAUAGCAAGAUGCAAGUGGGCAGUUCCCAGAGACCUGCCUAAGUGCGGUAGCAACAAGUUAAUGGAAGGUCCACACAGGCAGGUGGUCAGGUAGACAUGAAUGAAGCAGCCAAAAGUAUGCCCACGGACUGCCUUAGGGUGGCCUGCCACCCGAGAUGACUCUCCAUUGUCUUAAACUAUGAUUUCUGCCCUGCCUGAGGUGGAAUACUAAUGCCAGAAUGCAGAUACAGAUAAUGGAAACACAAAUGGUAUUCCGACAUGUAUGUGAGUAUUGCUACCCUCAUAUAAGUCAGUGCCCCUAAACUGGGCCACCCAUUCAAAAAUAUCUGGACAUUCCCUUGGAUGCAGUCCAAAUGGCGUUAUGAAAUGUUUCAUAAUUCUAGACAAUAAAUAUAACAUAACUAUUA